AUUUCCGGUCCCCUCCCCCACUUUAGGAAUUCGAAACUGACACAGAUUCAACAAAUAGGAUCUUCUCACCAACAUGACAAUCAAAAACGGGGCUUACCGGUCGAUGGUUUCUUCCGCGCAACUCCGAGACAGGCUCAAGAUAAAACAACUCCGGUUAUUUUUCUGCUUAACGCAUGGCGUGACAAGAUGAUAGCAGACCGGAUGUCAACGCUGUUCUGCAACUGUUGCGACUGGAGAGACGUUUUGAGGAUCAAGAAAGUGGUUGCUUUUUAGACCCGCCCUCCACACAACAGCCAAUACCUCCCCCCUUCAACGUUAACCACACCCCUUCUCAGUAUAAAAAAAAACAAAACUGCCCACCUCGCAAACCAACAGGGUCCAAACGGUUGUACCACAAGGAACGAUUCCACCAGUAAACCCAACGCCUCAAGCAGGCCCUUUCGCUGCUGAAGGUGCAGAGAUACAACCCGCGAACGCACCUCAAACUGAUCUGCCAGCAACCUCUUCACAGGCCCCAACUGCCAGACGGGGAACACCCUCUUUAAAACGUAAGAGGCAACUAUCCAGUUUGGUGAAGCUACAUUCUACCACCCUGAGGUUUCAAGAAGCCAUCAACAAAAACUUAUCCAGAAUAAUUAAAGCCCGGAAGAUUAUCACAGAAACGGUGGAGAGUAUUCAGAAAAUUCCACUUUCCGGUCGCAAAGGAGGGUUCCACAGCCGGAAAUGCUCUGAACUUCUGAGAAGCUGCAAGUGUCUGAUGGACGAAAUCGCCAAGAUCUCAACGCUACAGUAGAGUUAACCUUUUAAAUUGUGACCUCUGUUAAAAUGGAUGGCCAGCAAAUGAGAAAUGCAUUGUAUGAAAUUGUUGAAGCUGUGAAUGAACUCCGUAAUUUCCCUGUAUACCCUGCAACCGAAUUUCUCAAUCUAACCCCAAAUUCCCCCCUCAGAACUCAGGGUCCAGAUUUGGAUCUUGAACGUUUACUAUCUGUAGAACGAGCCAUCGAACGAUUAAAUGAUUCUUUCUCUCAACCAUACUCACUUGAAAAUAAUUCCUUAGAGUUUCAACAGCAAGUUACAAACGCUUUACACGAAAUCACACAAAUGGUUAAUGACCUUCAAAAUCUUCCUGUUCAACAUGUGCCUGGUUCUUUCAAUGUAGCUCCACAUUCACCGUCCAGGUUAGAACAAGCGAUCCAUCAAUUAAACGUUUCUCUCUCUCAAACAUUUAGCCCUAAUCCUA